rnacentral:rRNA from 1 species
AUUGAACGCUGGCGGCAUGCCUUACACAUGCAAGUCGAACGGCAGCAUGGAGGAGCUUGCUCCUCUGAUGGCGAGUGGCGAACGGGUGAGUAAAGCAUCGGAACGUGCCGUGUAGUGGGGGAUAACGUAGCGAAAGUUACGCUAAUACCGCAUACGCACCGAGGUGGAAAGCAGGGGAUCGCAAGACCUUGCGCUAUACGAGCGGCCGAUGUCAGAUUAGCUAGUUGGUAGGGUAAAGGCCUACCAAGGCGACGAUCUGUAGCGGGUCUGAGAGGAUGAUCCGCCACACUGGGACUGAGACACGGCCCAGACUCCUACGGGAGGCAGCAGUGGGGAAUUUUCCGCAAUGGGCGAAAGCCUGACGGAGCAAUACCGCGUGAGGGAUGAAAGCCUGUGGGUUGUAAACCUCUUUUCUCAAGGAAGAAGUUCUGACGGUACUUGAGGAAUAAGCAUCGGCUAACUCUGUGCCAGCAGCCGCGG